rnacentral:rRNA from 1 species
CCNGCGGUUUUUUNAUUUNGAUUNGAAAGCCNCNGNUCAACCGUGGAAGGUCAUUGGAAACUGGGAGACUUGAGUACAGAAGAGGAAAGCGGAAUUCCACGUGUAGCGGUGAAAUGCGUAGAGAUGUGGAGGAACACCAGUGGCGAAGGCGGCUUUCUGGUCUAUAACUGACGCUGAGGCGCGAAAGCGUUGGGGAGCAAACAGGAUUAGAUACCCUGGUAGUCCACGCCGUAAACGAUGAGUGCUAAGUGUUAGGGGGUUUCCGCCCCUUAGUGCUGCAGCAAACGCAUUAAGCACUCCGCCUGGGGAGUACGGCCGCAAGGCUGAAACUCAAAGGAAUUGACGGGGACCCGCACAAGCGGU